GUAGGCACUCUUGCCCCGCGGCGGGGACCCCCCUCCUCCUCUCCCUGUCGCCCCCGAGGGCAGCGGUGCGAGGGAGCAGGAGCCACCCCGGCCCGCGGGGCCAAGGACUUGCUGACCCAGCCGCAGCAUCCUCCUCCGGCGAGCGCUGCAGGGGGAAGUUCCUACUGCCCAGCUUCCAUUUUGGUGCAGGCUGCCGUGGUAUCUUUUAAUUGUUCAUAUCCAGGAUAGAGCAAACAAUGGGGAGAAAACUAGAUCUUUCUGGCUUGACUGAGGAGGAAGCAGAACACGUACUUCAGGUGGUCCAAAGAGAUUUCAGCCUUCGGAAGAAAGAAGAAGAAAGGCUGAGGUGUUAAUGAUCAUCCCGCAUUUUGAUGGUCUUGAUGUUCCACUGAUCAAGAUAACCUUUCUUCUGGCAACUUUUCUGUUUGCUAGCUACUCCUGGUCUCUCUCCAGGACUAUAUUCUUUUUCAAAAUAGUACAUCCACCAAUGGAGACCAUCCACCCAUGGAGAGCAGUCUUCAGCAGCAGAUGGAGUUUCAGAAAAAAGAUUAAACAGGAGAGGGAAGGUGAUUGAGCUGAAGAUUAGGUUUUUUUUUUCUCUUUGCAGCCUUAACUCGGGCUGGUGGGGAAUCUAUUUUGUCUUUAUUUUGUCUUCCCAAAAGUAAGGUGUUUUUUUUACUUGGGGACAUGUGGUAUGUGUGAAACUGUGAUAUUAAUGAAUUAGUUAUCUGAGUCUCUUCAAGUAUGUGUAAUUUUAUGUGCAACUUGGAUCAGGAAACAAGUGUGUCAUUCACUUUAUUAUUAUUAGUAUGAUUAUUAUGAUGAUGAUGAUUAUUAUUAUUUUACAAUAUCUGCAACAGUCAUCAGUUGUGGAGCUCAAUUUGUGAACCUCUUAACACUCUGAAUAGUUCCAACUGAAGUCAGUAGUAGUGAAUAGGAUUGUUUGCAACCAAGGUCUGUAAAACCAAGACUGAACUAUUUACUUUGGACCUAUGGAUAUCCCUUUGUUGGGAAAAGGGAGAAAUCCAAAAAUUUGAUAUUGCUUAUCUCAAAUGCUCAAAAAUCAUGCAAUUGAAAAAGAACCAAGAGUUUAUUUUUAUUUGUCUUCCUAAUAUCAAGACUUUAGGAUAUAUUAGGAUUACAUAACCACGGGGGCUAGAAAUCUGUGUUAUUUAUAACUCCUGAGGUUCUCACUUAAUCAUUUGUGCCCAAUCAUGUCUGUAACUCGAAAUAAAAUCAAGAGAACCGAUCAUGUUGCCAAUUCUUAUAAGUUAUAGGUUUGGAGAACCAUAUUUUUUUACAAAUUCUAUAUCUGGAACCCAUUAGAAAUUUAACAAAUACAUACUGUAUUUACUCAAAUCUAAGUUGACCCUGAGUUUAAGACAAUCCCCCAAUAAUUAGAUUCUAUAUAUGAAAAAUUGAUAUAAAAGGUUAUAAUUUUCUAAGUAUAGAAUCUAAUUAUCAGAGGGUUGUCUUAAAUUAUUCCCUUCACCACUUGUACAGCAAGGAAAGCAGUGGCUGGGGGUGUCAGCCCCUUGCCCUCUGUCCCCCUCACUUCUUCCCCUUGCAGCAUUCCUACUAUCCCCACCACUGGCACCCAGCACCCCCAUAAUCUCUGCCCCUUGCCCUCCCCAUCUCCUUCUGUCCCAUGCUGCUUGUUCCCUCCCUGAGCACAGCACAUGGGAGUGUAGUCCCUGCUGUCCAUGCAGCAAUCUAGCAGUGCUGAUUGUCCAGGCAGGGGCCAUUCAGUUGUCAGAACUGCUGAUUGACUGGGCAGGGGACAGAGUGUGCUCAGGAGGGAACCUAACCCAAGACAGAGCUGAGCUGUGCCUGACAGUAAUGGGUGGGGAAGGGGUGGGGCGUUGGGUGGGCAGGACAGAAGCUGCAGAGGGUAAGUGCGGGGGUGGGCAUAAGAUUACUAUGGGCUCAGGGCCAGAGUCAGAACCACAGCAGUCACCCUCCCCCCUCUUACCCUCCUCCUUUGUACAUGAAUCUAAGAUGGGGGGCCCCACCCAUGUUGGGGUAUCUUGUUUUAGAUUUGAGUAAAUAUGGUAAUUUAUUUCUAAUUUUGAUAUUUACAUCAUGGAGUGAAAGUCUGAAAUUGGCAGGUGUGAUUUAGAUCAUAAUGGGUGUGUAUUAUAUUGGAGCUGUUCUAAAGAUAAAUAGGACUGAGCUUUCAAGGGCAUUCAGUCUAUAACCUUUCAUAAGCACUUCACUGGGGAAAAUAAAAAGAUAAUGAAAAUUUCUUAUUUCAUAUUUUCUCGUGUUCUUGAAUAACUCAAUAUUUAUUGUGUUGUUUUUCAUUCUUUUACUUACUGAUUAACAGGGAUCUUAGAAAACAGAAAGCCAUGGGUUUCCCCUUUUUAUCAGAGAAAACAUGGAUUUCUCCUUUUAGCAGAGAAACCCACAGAUUCCCAGCUUUUGCAAAGAGCUCUACAGGCUGGUUGAGCUCCAGCCUGCAAGAGCUGUUUGCAGACAGAGUGGGAAACCCCCAGCCCUGGCCAGAGGGGAAGGGGGAGGGGGGAAGGCAAGGCCUGAGGCGCUCAGUCAGCUAUGGCUCGGCUUAGCUCAGCUUCACUCUUUGCUCCUGAGGUAAAUUGGACUUGCAGGGGGCUUGGGGCUCCUCUGGCAGGGCUGGUGGGGUUGUGGGUCAUGGCUGAGGGGCACUGGCAGGGUAGUGGGGGGCCAGGAGCCCACCCCACCUCCACCCAAGCAGGCAGAGGAGUGGGGGAGCCGGCUCCAUGCUGCUUCUGCUGUAGCUGCUUGCUGUUGGGGACAGGGAGCUGCAGACUUGGGUCCCUGGCCCCAUAGCCCUGGCAGCUGCAGGCCCCCUCCAACAGGGCCAGGAUGCGGGGCUGUGGGUGGGGGCAAGAGGCAUGAGUAGGGUGGGAGGCUGUUGUGGGGGCAAUGAGGAGCACCAACAGGGUUGGGAUGGCUUUGGUGGUAAGUGAAGGGCACCAGAAGGGCUGUGGGAGGCA